rnacentral:tRNA from 1 species
GGGGUUGUGGCUCAGUGGCAGAGCGCUCGCCUUAUACAUGGGAGGCACUGGGUUCCAUCCUCAGCACCACA